AAUUGGGGGGGGGGGGGGAAGCGAGCUUCAUUCAAAUUCUAAAUUCAUUCGCAAAUUUUGUUGAAUAUGUGAAGUCAUACAAUUAAAACUUUGUUCAAUUUUUUUACUAAAUGAUUUUUUAUCUGGUUUAUAUAUGAUUUAAAAAACUAAAAGACGACUUAUACAAAUUUGAAAUUUAAAAAAAUGUUUUUACAUCAUUAAAUAGAUAUUGUUAAUGUAAAAAAAUAAAUACAUGAGAGAUUAGUACAAAAAAUAUUUUUGUUGAUUCUGGGCCAACUAAUAAGGCAAGAUAUUUCAUUAGGCCAAUUUUGUAAUAUGAAAUCUUUGAGGCCCAAUGUUAUAAUCCACUUACACUUUCCAAAUACAUAAUUAACCAUUUUUUUUCUUUUCUGUUCGAAGAAUAUACCCUAUCCUUCGUCUCCAUUUCGUCGCUUCGGAACAAACGACGCUCAAAUCUUCUUCGAACCUGCAUGCGAAAUGAAUUCACCUUCCACAGAUCUUCAGUGAAAUGAAUCGAAGGUUCUAUCAGAUCUACCGAGUUAUGUAUUAGCUUCGUCAAUCAAAAGCCAUAAGAUCCCUGGGAAUGUACAAAUAAAUCAGAUCAAACUCACGGUGUCUGUUAAUGGAGACGAUACAUUUGUUCUGAAAUAAGAGAAGAUGCGGCAAAAAAGCACAUGGAGCUUCAGUCUUUCAGCUAAGUUCUCAUUGCCUCAGUAUGUUUGCAAAUAGAAAACAAACACUCAAAAACAGAAAUUUCAUUGACAUAAAUUUCUUUUCGUUCAACCUCAAAACAUGUGUCUUUUCCCUGGAUCAGCUUCAUAUAACACCUUCAGAUCAUGUACAAAUCCUCACUCCUUCGAUGUAAAUAAGAGAGAUUGACAAUCAAGAGAAAGAUUGUAGAUUGAAAGCUCAGCCGUUGUCUACUAAUCAGGUUAGAAUGAACGAUCUUUACUCUGUUGUUUUUUCUAUUAAAACAGAAACCAGAAAAGUAUAUAAAAACUUCAAUAUGAUAUAAUUGAAUGUAUAAAGUAGAUAGCAAAUCACAUAAGUAAUCGUUAAACACCAACGAAUAUUGAAAAGCAACAUGAAAAACUUAAACCAUAAAUUUAAAAUAGAUAGAUGCCAUAACACUAAAGAGCAUACGUCCUUCUCAAUCCUUGGAAUUCUUCUCAGAAGUCAUCAAUAAGAAUUUGCUGGAAUCCUGCAAAGAAAGAAAUAUUUUGUCAACACACAAUUCACCUUUUUUUAUUUGAAGAACAAACUCAUGCUUUCAAAAAUUAUUAAUGUUCUUACAGCUGCCUAAAAGAUUGAAUCUGUGGGAUGUUAGGUUCGAAUUCUAUCUUUGAACAACCUUCAAUGUUCUUAAUCCAUGUCAGUCGCCCUAAUGAAAAAAAAAACAAUAAUAUUUAGAUUACUAAGUUAAAGGUAAGUAAACAUUUCAAUUAAAAUAAAAAUUUUACUAUUUUAUACCUUGGCCCCUUUCAAUUUGCCAAAAACUCAAAACACACAAAACAACAUUUGCUCUUGUGGAAUUCCAAUAAGCAUCAAUCUCUGGUGCAUUAUUUCCAUAUGCAACACACUUUAGAUGUUUAUAGCUGAAAUUAUAAAGAGUUCUAUAAUUUAAAAUAUACUACAUAUAUACUAAACUGAAAUACGGGAUUAAAGUAACUGUCUAACUAACCCCGGAUUUACCAAACUAAAAACCAUUUUUGGUUUCAUUGGCCCUCCAGGCUCUCCAACUUCUUCUAGUUGACCCACACAAACCAUAGCUCCAUAGACGUCUAUUGGAUAAAAUAUAGAGCACGUGAAUUAGGAUUAUGAUUUGAAAAACAUACAGGAAAAUAUCAUUGUCUCAGGCUAAUUAAAGUACGAUGAUAAUAUUUAACUAAACCAUUUAAUAUACCAUACCUACAGAGUACAUAGGAUGUGCAAGGCCUCUCAGUAUGGUUUUAAAUUCUUUAAAACCAUAAUAGUUGCAUGGUGCUGUUGUUGUAACCUUUCGAACCACCGUAUUUUCUCCCGUUAUAACAUGGAAUCGGUUUUUGGUGGUCCUAAAUUGCCUGAAAUUGAACCUCAAUUUGAAAUUAAAAAUUUCAUACCAUUCACCUUCA